UGGCGGCGGCCUAACACAUGCAAGUCGAGCGGAAACGAAGAGGUGCUUGCACCUCUGGCGUCGAGCGGCGGACGGGUGAGUAAUGCUUGGGAAUAUGCCUUAUGGUGGGGGACAACAGUUUGAAACGACUGCUAAUACCGCAUGAUGUCUACGGACCAAAGUGGGGGACCUUCGGGCCUCACACCAUAAGAUUAGCCCAAGUGGGAUUAGCUAGUUGGUGAGGUAAUGGCUCACCAAGGCGACGAUCCCUAGCUGGUUUGAGAGGAUGAUCAGCCACACUGGGACUGAGACACGGCCCAGACUCCUACGGGAGGCAGCAGUGGGGAAUAUUGCACAAUGGGCGCAAGCCUGAUGCAGCCAUGCCGCGUGUGUGAAGAAGGCCUUCGGGUUGUAAAGCACUUUCAGUAAGGAGGAAAGGUUAAGUGUUAAUAGCACUUAGCUGUGACGUUACUUACAGAAGAAGCACCGGCUAACUCCGUGCCAGCAGCCGCGGUAAUAC
rnacentral:rRNA from 1 species